AGGAGAGAGAAAGACAGAUGGGAUAUACUUAUGGCAGGGAUAUCUUAACUCUUCCUUCCUAGGAUGCGGUGUGUGUGUGUGUGACGUGUGUGUGUGUGUGUGUGACGUGUGUGUGUGUGUGUGUGUGACGUGUGUGUGUUAUGGUCACCAUCUGUUGUACUGAGGUAAGCCCCAAACUGCUCUGCACAGGUUCACAAGGAGGAAAGAUCUGAAGUCUUUCCGCAUAUAACUGGGUUCUGUCAGAGGCAGUUUACUCUUCAGCAUCUCAGGAACUGCACAGUACUCAGUACAAGCAAUGACAGCAAUCAAUAUACAGUUCCCUGUGCAGAACAGCAGAAAUGGGCAGGAAUUCCCAGGUCCUCUCAAUGAGAGGCCUGCAGAAGGAAGUUCUUGCCAUUGGGACUGCAGCAGGGCUGGGGCUUGUCCAGAUUCUCAAAGAUCAAGGGGGACACUAAUAAACAUGACUGAGAAUUGACUCAGCACAAAGCUAACAAUAUAUUCCACACAGACGCCCAUCCCUGGGAAAUACACUCAAUCCACUAAUUUUCUCCUGCUGAGAAGAGACAUACCCAAGUGGCAAGAGUCAAACUACCAUCCAAGACUGCUCCCUUCUUCAUAGAGGGAAAGGAGGAACAGGAGACUUCACCACAAGAAUCAUCACCCCAGAAGCAUGCACCAGUAUCAACCACACCUAGCCUAUCUCACCCUCUGAAGGCUCUGUGAUGGUGGGAGAUGUGCUGAUCCAUCAACAAGAGCAGCAAAAAACAUACCUGACAGCAAGACCCUAUUUCAGCCUGAUCAAGAGGUGAGUGAGCCGCAGUUCUCAGGCAGCUCCUGGCUAACACACUGCAGCAUGAACAAGCCUUCCCUUACUGAAGCAAUCCCUGUCAGCAAACAGAUGCUCAGUGCUUGACUGGAACAGUAAACCUGUCAGAAGCUAUUUUACAUCCAGCCAGAAACUUCAAUGCCUCCCCGGUGUUACCUUCCUCUCGGAUACAAAGCAGCACAGUGCUGCCUUGUGCUUGGCAACUUGAAAGUUAAGACAAAAGGUUUCCAGGUUCUCAGCAGGCUCUGAGCACAAGUUGACAGGGCAGGCUUCCUUCCUCCAGUAUUCAUCCCCUGACCUUCAGAGUCUUGAGCAAGCAUGCCACAUCAGGAUACACAAGCCCUCACAGAAGGUGAGUAACACAGGAUAUCCAUGCAAGCACAUGUAUCAUGGGAUAGAGGUAAUCUAAGGAAUUCAAGCUUGUUUAUCAAGAAAACACACUGUGGAAGGUUUUGCACAGUGAAAAGCGAGAAGCUGACACAAAAAGAAUACAGCCUGCCAGGCCAGGUAUGGUCCGUCCUCCAUCAGACCAUGAAGGAAGAAUUAAGCUGGCUCCAUGGUCUUUCAGGACAAAUAAUUCACAUGGAGUAAGAGAUCUUCAGCUGAGGUUGAUCUGAAUGUUUAUCUUACAUGCUGAAGAGCCAGGUGAAAUCAGAGAACUUGUGAUUUAUCAGGAGACCAAAACAAACAGCCUCCCAGCUCAAUCCAAAAGGAAUGGGGAGUCUGUAUCUUCCAAGGCCUUACACCUAAUGAGUUAGCUAAAUAAAAAGAGAAACCUCUGAGAGACACAAACAGAGGCAACUAAUUUCCAUAAGAACCCAAGCAACAGUUGAAAACUUCAACAGCACAAUUCUCAAGUCUGGAUUAACAGCAACUGGCAACAUCAGACUACUGCUGUCAGAGCACAGCAAACAACGUGAAGGUAGGUUUCUUGUAGAGAAACAUGCAACCCUCUCCCCCAUUUCUGCAAAGAAGUGAGUAUCUAGAAAUUCCAACUGACAACGAUGACUGAAGGAGUUCCCCUCUCUCAGGGACUAGUCCAUCUCCCUUUUCCUGUAUACCACACCUUUUCUUUUGGAGCUAGAAAGGCAAUUCUGAGGGGAAUGGAAACCUUCAGGAGGAGCAGUACUAUAAAGGAUAAUAGCUAUGAAUUUUCAUGUUUUCAGUACUGGAACAAAGCUCCGAUCGUGUGAGCAACUACACGCAUGACAGAGACAAUCUCUGCCAUUACACAGCCAUCACACAAUGCUCAUUGCAAGAUUAACCUUGAUAUCAAUACUCAAGAACCUUGACUAGGAAGAAACUUGAUUCUAUCUAUUCUACUUGCACUAUAGAUGGAUGAACUUGAAAGAAGUAUCAUUAAAGUACAGAAACAAGAGAUGUCACCAUCUGCCUACUGGAGGGAUACACAAAGACGAAGUACUCCAACAUGUCCCAAGAAGUACACCAACGAAGCUCUCUGCAGAGGACCCCUUCAGCAGUGGGUGACCCCAAGGGGCACUUCAGCUCACCUGCAGCCAGCAUCUCAUACAACAGGGCUUCUGUAUUUGAACAAAACCACCACAGCUUUGGCAAGGAAGGCUGCACUACAGCUUACGUUAAAUUAAGAAAAUGAUAACAGAAGAGAAUUGCAAGGGAAAUAUGAAAAAAACAGCAGAAGCCAUUUGAUAAUAUUUACUCGGGCUGCAGAUUCUAGUAAGAAUCUGAACUGCUUGUUCCUUCCAGCUGGAGUCAGCUGAAUGUCAGUGUUUGCCAGAGCACACACUACACCGCACCAGCUGAGCCAACACCGGUGCAAGGCAGCUGAUCAGGAAGUUGAACAAGAGCAGAUUUUAAGGAAAAAAAAAAAAAUUAGAUCUCUCCUUAUCACCCCUUCCCCCAAACUCCCCCUCCCGCUUGGGCUCCUUUGUGUUCUUCUAGCUCCCGACCCAAGGUAGCUCAGCCCAGUGCUCUCUCAGCUUGGCAUGCAUUCCUUGCAAAGCAGGCUGUCCUCUUCACACGAAGCUCAUUCCAGGAACAGUUUCCUCAGGCAGAGACACACUUGGCAGAACAUUAUUCUCCAAAGCUGUAAGGCUUCUCUCUGCUUGUAUUCCUUUUUCAUAUUCUCAAAGCUUCUUACUCUGCAAUAACUAUUAGCAGCAUUUCAGGAACUGAUACUCCAGAAUGCAGACAGGUCACUAGCUUCAACAGAGAGUAUCUCUGAAUCUGUGUCACAAAAAGUACACAUUUCUGUUGUUUAAAAGGCAGAGCCUUUCCUUCCCUGUAAGAGUGACCAUGAGGUAAUUUAGAUUUAAAAGACUAUUCAACUGUUCAAAUACUUGUACGUUCCUAACUGGUACUUACAUUCCUAUCAGGAUGUGGCAGAGGACAAUAUGCUUACAUUAACACUGAUCCCUCUGGGGAUUAUGAUUUUCAUCUUUUAGAACUAGCCUGCUCCACCGACCGGGGCCUGCACAUCCUCAUCUGCAGCAAUUCUUACUUUCUUCAUUUUUUAAGCUCCAUCGGUGCUUAGCCCCAGAUCUGGUCCACCAGGAAGUUUCGAGGGAAGAAAGUUCCUCUGUAAACUGAAGUAUCUCUUUAUAUUGUCAUAUAGGACAUAGGCAAGCAGCUACAGCAAGCUCAUGAGUAACAGCGUCUUAUCUUCUCUCUGGAAACUGCAGAGUCACUGCAGUUUCCAAACCCUCACCUACCUGCACAAACAGCGUUUUCCAGAUCACCCAAAAAUGUGAUUAAACCAUUCCCUACGUACAAUCACAUCAAAACAAAACCUUGCCUUUAAGCUAGUCCCACUUCCAACUGGAGUAUUACUUCAGUAGUUCCUAAGCAGUUCAAAGGGCAAACUCACUCCUAUGAUUCAGCCUCAUCUCCUUCAUUCUUUAACACACCUGCACCAAACCCAGGGAUCUCCUCCCACGCUCCCAACAGAGCCCAGCACACACAAAAAAAUUAGGAACUCAAUGAAUCACUGCAGUUCUCUGGCUAGAUGAAGGAGCAUGUUAACUUUGGCAAAUUGCAUCAACACAAGAUAAAAUACAUAAAUACUCAAUACAAAGCUGCUGUCCAGCUCCUGUAACGCAUUCUGCAUUGCUGGGCAUUUCUUAGGGCUACAGAAGAGGAAGAAGGCAGGUAGGGCAGUUACCACAUUAACAAAAGGCACUUGCAAAACUAGGGAGGGAAAGUAACAAGCAAGAGACUGUCCUGUGUCCACUGGAGAUGCAGCACAGGUGUAACUCAACACUGAGCUACUAAAGGGAGCCCCAAGAUCUGAAAUGUAGGUCCUAUGCAAGCGGCAGAAAACCCAAGUGCAUUUUGCUUCCUGUAAGCAUGAAUUUUGCUUCCUAUCCGUAUAGCAGCAUAAGCAGUUUCUGUGCUAAGACAGGGUAACAGGAGAUUCCACAAAGCUGCCUGUCAUUCACUCCAGCACUUCAUUUUGAAUAACCAGAUUGCUAGCAUAUCUAUGUGCAUAUUGUGGAACUGACAAGGACCAAGUCCAAUCACAUUUUGCACAGCAGGUUUUUACUGCUCAGCAAUUACUCUUGACCUCUUAUACUAAAUGCAUACAUCAUGCAAAGCAUUGCAUCUUCACCAGUGGGAAAACAACAAAAGCCUCACCCAAUUCACCCCCUACAAUAUGCUCGCCCCCAUCAGGGAUGGUCAAUGCAGAGAAGUCCGUGGUCCCCACCACAAUCAGAAGGCCUUGCAAGUGGAUGACCACAGCCAUGCUGUGCUGAGGCCACACACCUGCAGAUGAGAACACGUAAUGGCUGUAUCAGGCUGCAAGACAGUACUUCCAGACAUUGCUUAUAUUAUACAACCCUAACAGCAUCUUACAAGGACUAUGUAAGUCUCACAAACAUUUAAACAGCACUUCAGAAAAUUAUUUCGGCGCUGUCUUGGGAGGCGGAUUACAACAGACCUUACAGUCUACAAAGCCUGCUUGUGCCAUGCCUACCAGGCUCUGCAUACAGCCCCACUGCUGCCAUGCAGUAUGUCUCACUGUAUUUUAUCCUACAUUAAAAAAAAAAAAAACCAAAACCCAUCAGUUAAAACAUUAACCCAGAGAGUUCCUGUACUAGCUAUUCACUCCAGGAAUCCUUUGGUCCUGCCUGUCCACACACUAUCUCAUUGCAAUUUGAGUAAGUUUUUGAAUAAGGGUUACAACAAAACCCAAGACCGAGGGAUAUCCUUAUCACUGGCCUUUCAAACAACGCUGCAGACCUCCAAUCAAGUUUUUUGUUAGUUUUCCUUUUUUUUUUUUUUUUUUCCUAAUUGCAACAGGAGCGGAUACAGGAAAAAACAUGACUUAAACAUGCAGGCUAUUA